rnacentral:rRNA from 1 species
GACGAACGCUGGCGGCGUGCCUAAUACAUGCAAGUCGAACGCACCCUCGUUUAGAUUGAAGGAGCUUGCUCCUGAUUGAUAAACAUUUGAGUGAGUGGCGGACGGGUGAGUAACACGUGGGUAACCUGCCCUAAAGUGGGGGAUAACAUUUGGAAACAGAUGCUAAUACCGCAUAAAACCUAACACCGCAUGGUGUAGGGUUGAAAGAUGGUUUCGGCUAUCACUUUAGGAUGGACCCGCGGUGCAUUAGUUAGUUGGUGAGGUAAAGGCUCACCAAGACCGUGAUGCAUAGCCGACCUGAGAGGGUAAUCGGCCACACUGGGACUGAGACACGGCCCAGACUCCUACGGGAGGCAGCAGUAGGGAAUCUUCCACAAUGGACGAAAGUCUGAUGGAGCAACGCCGCGUGAGUGAAGAAGGUUUUCGGAUCGUAAAACUCUGUUGUUGGAGAAGAAUGUAUCUGAUAGUAACUGAUCAGGUAGUGACGGUAUCCAACCAGAAAG